GGAAUUCGAUUGUUUCAGCAGCCGCGGUAAUACAUAGGGUGCAAGCGUUGUCCGGAUUUAUUGGGCGUAAAGAACUCGUAGGUGGUUUGUUACGUCGGAUGUGAAACUCUGGGGCUCAACCCCAGACCUGCAUCCGAUACGGGCAGACUAGAGUGUGGUAGGGGAGACUGGAAUUCCUGGUGUAGCGGUGGAAUGCGCAGAUAUCAGGAGGAACACCAAUGGCGAAGGCAGGUCUCUGGGCCAUUACUGACACUGAGGAGUGAAAGUGUGGGGAGCGAACAGGAUUAGAUACCCUGGUAGUCCACACCGUAAACGAUGGACGCUAGUUGUGGGGACCUUCCACGGUUUCUGCGACGCAGCUAACGCAUUAAGCGUCCCGCCUGGGGAGUACGAUCGCAAGAUUAAAACUCAAAGGAAUUGACUGGGCCCCGCACAAGCAGCGGAGCAUGCGGCUUAAUUCGACGCAACGCGAAGAACCUUACCAAGGCUUGACAUAUAGGGAAAAGCAGCAGAGAUGUUGUGUCCGCAAGGGCCCUAUACAGGUGGUGCAUGGUUGUCGUCAGCUCGUGUCGUGAGAUGUUGGGUUAAGUCCCGCAACAAGCGCAACCCUCAUUCUGUGUUGCCAGCAUUUAGUUGGGGACUCACAGGAGACUGCCGUGGUUAACACGGAGGAAGGUGGGGAUGACGUCAAAUCAUCAUGCCCCUUAUGUCUUGGGCUGCACGCAUGCUACAAUGGCUGGUACAAACGGCUGCAAUACCGCAAGGUUGAGCGAAUCCGAAAAAGCCAGUCUCAGUUCGGAUUGGGGUCUGCAACUCGACCCCAUGAAGUCGGAGUUGCUAGUAAUCGUAGAUCAGCAACGCUACGGUGAAUACGUUCCCGGGGCUUGUACACACCGCCCGUCAAAC
rnacentral:rRNA from 1 species